CGGCAACUGAGCGCUCUGAAAGCCAGAAGACAGACACAAGAGCAAAUAAUUACCUUUCCCAGCACUGCAGACACACACAGAGAGACGGUUUUGUGUCCCCAGACAAGAGGCCUGCUUUCACCUGAGCAGGCUCAGCCAAUUACCCCCACCCGCACCCCCGCGCCACCAACGGAGACAAAGGGGAGCCGAGUAGGAUGAGUGACCGGGACCAGGCUGGGAGGCUCUUCAUUAGCGGAGGAGGGGUCAGACUUUCAGAAACAACAGCCCAAACCUUCAUCAAAACACUUUUUAUGACACAAGGUGGCAAACUGCCAAUCAGUUUUUGUGCCUGUCUUUUUUUUUCUUUCCUCGGGUGAAGUGUUUCGUUAUCUAUCCUCUUGUGUCUGUUUUAUGUUGUCAGUAUGCAUUGUGAUGCACAGUACAUUAAACCUGCCGGGCCUUUGAAAUUGCUGUCACGAAGAUAUGGUUGCAGUUAUUGAAGCCAUUAUAAG